AUGUACAUUCCUACAACAUUAAUGCAAUGGAUCCUAUUAGAACUCCAUAAUUAAGCACACUUGGGAUAGAGUAGUAUUGGGAUGAGUAACCUCUCGAGAAAUCCUAGUGUUUUACAUG
rnacentral:rRNA from 1 species